rnacentral:tRNA from 1 species
GGGCGAUUAGCUCAGCUGGUUAGAGCGUCAUGCUUACACCGUGAAUGUCGGCGGUUCGAACCCGUCAUCGCCCA